GGAAAUUACAACAACAUGGCCAUCAAGGCUAAUGAAGCAAGGAGAGGAAAAAACCCUUCUAGAGCAUUGAUCUAAACCUCAUCUCAUGUGUUCGACAUCACUGCAAUUCUUAGAUAAAUUGUAUAAAUCUGCAUUGUAAGUUGUUACAAAGAUUCACAUACAUCACCACCAAAAUCCUCACAUUCCUUCACUCCCAAUCUUCCUCAGCAAGUUCAUUUUCUGUAUCAUCUUUUGGUGGCCUCACUAUCAACACCACAGUCCCCAAACUCUCCUUCACCCCUGCUUCCUUCAAUGCCGAUCCCCU
rnacentral:lncRNA from 1 species